rnacentral:rRNA from 1 species
UACAGAGGGGGCAAGCGUUGUUCGGAAUUACUGGGGCGUAAAGGGCGCGUAGGCGGUUCGAUAAGUCCCGUGUGAAAGCCCCCGGCUCAACUGGGGAACUGCACGGGAAACUGACGGACUUGAGUAUGGGAGAGGGAUGUAGAAUUCCAGGUGUAGCGGUGAAAUGCGUAGAUAUCUGGAGGAAUACCGGUGGCGAAGGCGGCAUCCUGGACCAUUACUGACGCUGAGGCGCGAAAGCUAGGGGAGCAAACGGG